ensembl:misc_RNA 7SK 7SK RNA
GGAUGUGAGAGCAAUCUGGCUGUGACAUAUGUCACCCCAUUGAUUGCCAGGGUUGAUUUGGCUGAUUUGGCUGGCUAGGCCAGUGUCCCCUUCCUCCUCCCUCCACUCCAGGCAUAUCCCUCCUGAAGCUGUGUGCUUGGUUGAAGAGGACAACCAUCUCUGAUAGAGGAGGGCCAUUCUUCUGUCAAGGGUAUACAAGUAACUGCACUCCUGUGCAAGAACCUCCAAACAAGCUCACAAGAUGUCUCCUGCUGAUAACUUCAUCAACACAACUGCUAUAAAGAAUAAAAACACUUUAUCUGAUGGUGUUUAAAAUC